GGUGACAGGCAAGAAAUAUAUUAGCACUUCAAAAAUCUGAUAAUCUCAAUUCUUGACCCACUUUUGCCCAUAAAUAUGUGCUAAGGACAAGAAACUACCAAAGCUCCAUUAAAAGGGUAUUUGCAAUUCUGCUAGUCAUUCUUGAAAAGAAAUACUAGCAUAGUCAAUCUGCUUGAUUUGUUUUGAUGCUGAUGAAAGGUAUAAGUGAAUAAAGAGCAAAGGAAAUGCCACAAUACAGUCAUCAAAUCUUAGAGACAUGAACAGUGACCUUCCAUUCACCAUUAUUCACAAAGCAUUGACUGUUUAUAUUUCUUGAUUGAGCAUUGACCAAGAGCCACAUGCAUCAUUAAGGAACAAUGAUGAAACUAAAAAAAAAAAGUAAAGCAAUACUUCUGCAAUGAGCGAAAAACAAUAUAUCAGUAUUAACCCUGCUAAAUCUGAACUUAAAAUAAGAUUAAAAUUACAAGAGUCCUUAUAAUAUUUGCUUCAUCCAUAUUGCAACUAUUAUUAUCAGUUUGCAGGUUUUAUUUUUGAUAUAUGAUAAAAUUUUACAACAGAUAUAAUUUCCUAGGUCUAAUAUUAUAUUUCCUCAGAUGCAAAAUCCCAAAAUAAAUGAACCCACGCCAGUAACAAGCCUAGAUGCACCAAAAUUACAGAGUAUAAAUAUAGCAUGUUCUCAUUUCUAAACAUUCACCAAAUGGCAAUAAUCAUAUUGUAGAAAUUACG
rnacentral:misc_RNA from 1 species